ensembl:misc_RNA 7SK 7SK RNA
GGAUGUGAGAGCAAUCUGGCUGUGACAUCUGUUACCCCAUUGAUCUCCAGGGUUGAUUUGGCUGAUCUGGCUAGCUAGGCAGGUGUCCCCUUCUUCCCUCACCGCUCCAUGUGCAUCUCUCCUGAAGCUGUGCGCUCAGUUGAAGAGGAGACUGUCCCUGAUAGAGGAGGGCCAUUUCCUCGGUCAAGGGUAUACCAGUAUCUGCACUCUCCUGCUAGAACAUCCAAACAAGUUCUCAAGCCUUAAUGAAAAAAACAGUAGCUAGCUGGGGGUAACAGCCACAUGGGUUAU